rnacentral:rRNA from 1 species
UACGUAGGGUGCAAGCGUUGUCCGGAAUUAUUGGGCGUAAAGAGCUCGUAGGCGGUCUGUCGCGUCUGCUGUGAAAACUCGGGGCUUAACCCCGGGCCUGCAGUGGGUACGGGCAGACUAGAGUGCGGUAGGGGAGACUGGAAUUCCUGGUGUAGCGGUGAAAUGCGCAGAUAUCAGGAGGAACACCGGUGGCGAAGGCGGCCCGCUGGGCAACUGCUGACACUGAGGCGCGACAGCGUGGGGAGCAAACAGG